AAAGUACUCCCUCCGUCCCAAAAUUCUUGUCUUAGAUUUGUCUAGAUACAGAUGUAUCAAGUCACAUUUUAGUAUUAGAUACAUCCGUAUCUAGACAAAUCUAAGACAAGAAAUUUGGGAUAGAGGGAGUAGUUG
rnacentral:pre_miRNA from 1 species